rnacentral:rRNA from 1 species
UACGAAGGUGACAAGCGUUGUCCGGAUUUACUGGGCGUAAAGAGCGCGCAGGCGGUCGAUCGAGUCGAGUGUGAAAGCCCCCGGCUCAACUGGGGAGGGUCAUUCGAUACUGAUCGACUCGAAGGCAGGAGAAGGUAGUGGAAUUCCCGGUGUAGUGGUGGAAUGCGUAGAUAUCGGGAGGAACACCAGUGGCGAAGGCGACUACCUGGCCUGUUAUUGACGCUGAGGCGCGAAAGCUAGGGGAGCAAACGGG